CCCAGACUCCUACGGGAGGCAGCAGUGGGGAAUAUUGCACAAUGGGGGAAACCCUGAUGCAGCGACGCCGCGUGAGUGAAGAAGUAAUUCGUUAUGUAAAGCUCUCUCAGCAGGGAAGAAAAUGACGGUACCUGAGUAAGAAGCCCCGGCUAACUACGUGCCAGCAGCCGCGGUAAUACGUAGAGGGCAAGCGUUAUCCGGAUUUACUGGGUGUAAAGGGAGCGUAGGCGGUUUAGCAAGUCAGAAGUGAAAGCCCGGGGCUCAACUCCGGGACUGCUUUUGAAACUGUUGAACUAGAUUGCAGGAGAGGUAAGUGGAAUUCCUAGUGUAGCGGUGAAAUGCGUAGAUAUUAGGAGGAACACCAGUGGCGAAGGCGGCUUACUGGACGACAACUGACGGUGAGGCGCGAAAGCGUGGGGAGCAAACAGGAUUAGAUACCCCCGUAU
rnacentral:rRNA from 1 species